UACGAAGGGGGCUAGCGUUGCUCGGAAUCACUGGGCGUAAAGGGUGCGUAGGCGGGUCUUUAAGUCAGGGGUGAAAUCCUGGAGCUCAACUCCAGAACUGCCUUUGAUACUGAGGAUCUUGAGUACGGGAGAGGUGAGUGGAACUGCGAGUGUAGAGGUGAAAUUCGUAGAUAUUCGCAAGAACACCAGUGGCGAAGGCGGCUCACUGGCCCGUAACUGACGCUGAGGCACGAAAGCGUGGGGAGCAAACAAG
rnacentral:rRNA from 1 species